AGAGCCUUAUGUACGGGCAUACUGUAAUCAAUCAAACCACUGCCAGACGUAAGGUUUUGC
rnacentral:pre_miRNA from 1 species